CGUAGUGGAAGGAGGCGUGCC
rnacentral:miRNA from 1 species